rnacentral:rRNA from 1 species
UGGCGGACGGGUGAGUAAUGUCUGGGAAACUGCCCGAUGGAGGGGGGUAACUACUGGAAACGGUAGCUAAUACCGCAUAACGUCGCAAGACCAAGAGGGGGACCUUAGGGCCUCUUGCCAUCGGAUGUGCCCAGAUGGGAUUAGCUAGUAGGUGGGGUAAUGGCUCACCUAGGCGACGAUCCCUAGCUGGUCUGAGAGGAUGACCAGCCACACUGGAACUGAGACACGGUCCAG